CAGCCAUCGGGAUGGGGAUGAGCCGUUCAGCCGGCUCACCCCGCUCUUCUUCCUCCCGUGGGUCUAGCUUGUCGAUCGUCAGGGGGCCCUUCAACUCGUCGCUUUGAGCAGAGAUCUAGAAGCAUCAUCGAGCGAGCUGUUGAUCUCCGCGCAUCUCUCCGACUCCAUUUUUGGUCGGGAACCGAACCAAGAGGUGGUACGUCGAGACAAUCGCCUUGAGGGCAUUU
rnacentral:lncRNA from 1 species